AUGUAUUUUUGUCCUAUCAAUUGCAAUAGACCGGAGGACGAAGGUCGGACUUACCUCCAGAAGGGGGUAUUCAGAGAUGAAAUCACUGUGAUAGGCGUCGGUGUUUGAGAAGAAGCCGCCUUUGAAGCAGAUCGAGUGUGUCUGAGUUCCGAAAGGCAGCACAAUCCCGAGGAUCACCUUCACGCCUCGACCUGGACCGGCUUCGUUUGGAAAUACGCCGAGCUCUUCUCUGGUAUAUCUGGAGAUCCCAGAAACGACCCUCGUGUUCCCAGCGAAGACCGCGCCACCAAACCCAGGAACCCUAAUCGCCUCAGCGGAGUCCACGAUCAGAAAUUAUAGCGAGCGGAACACUAAAAAGUUGGAAACUCGACGCGAUUCGAGUCGAUUUUACCUGUUAAUCGAUGCCCGCCGAAAACCCCGUCCCUCAAGAAAACUAUCGAUGGGGUUCUUUGAAGCCGGUGGUUCGGAAGGAGCGAUUGCAGGUGCUCUUCGCGACGGCCUCAGGCGUACUGCUCGAUGGAUUCACGAGAAAGAAGAUCCCUUGCUUCCUCCGCCGAUUCAAGCUGAAGCUCUCGCUCUGGUAGAGGAUUCGAUGUGCUUCAGAUCUAGAAGUAGAGACAACUUGUGGUGGAUGGCGUUUCUUGGACGAGGCAAUUAUUUACUUCUUUUGAUUCUGCCUUUUUGACCAAGACUACCAGAACAAUCCUUUCCUCGAAAUUGGCAAGACGACCCCCUAUAGACUUCACUUAUUAAUUCUUUUUGUUAUUAUAUUCUGUGGCCAAGCAAAUCAUAGUGGAAAUUAACUUUUUUACA